CCCAAAGUCACAUCUGGUUUGAAGAGUAACAGUCCUGCAAACAAGCCAGAGUCUACAACGAUGCAAAGCCAGAUCUAUAUUCUGUGGAGCUGACCUGGCAGAGGCUAAACAGUCCAGCCAUCCCCUCCCUCAGUCAGAUUUGCACGAAAAGAGUGGGGGAACAGGGGUCCUGGCUGAUGCCUUGUCAGCUUGACCUGCUUUAAAACGCCACCAUCAUCAGAGGAAAAGAGCCCUGAAAUGCCGGUGAGUGCUGAGCGUCGGCUUCCCAUUCACAGCCUUCUGAAAGCCCUGCUCACCGCAACCUGAUAACAGCUCCAGGUGUCUGGAUGGGGGCCAAAUAGCCGCCUAUAGUCUUCACUCUGUUAAAAUGCUCAGUCCUGGCACCAAUGUUUUGACUCUCCCCCUCCUUCACUUUCUCCCUGCUUUCAUUCUCUCUUUCCCACAGUUUUCCCUCUGCCUUUUUCUUCAUGCCUGGGAAAUCUUUGUCAAAACCUUCCUUUAAAUGGAGAUUUUGUUGAUAAAUAUGUUUACAGACUUCCUGGACAAAGUCUCUUUAGUCUGCAUAGUCUUCGGUUUAGUGCCUUUCAGUAUCAGUUAAACUGUAUGCUAAGAAGAUGGUCAUAUUUACUGCAGUCAGCAGCUUUAUUACGGCUUAUAUUGCUUUGGAAGCUGCUGUUUCCAUAUGAUUUUUUUUUAGUAAUGUCACAUCUCUUGGGAUAGUUUGUAUAAGGCAAGGUAAAACCAUUAAAGUUAUUUUUCCUGCAGCUUUAUGGCCUUUGUACAUUAUUCAUGUGCUACAGAGCGGGUCAUUCUGGGUAAAUUACUUUGGGGCAUCCCUGUUCUCAUAUUAAACCUGCUGGAUGUGUGUAUUUCUCUUAUUUUUGGGCUUUGUUGAGCACAGCACAAAGUUUUCGUUGCAAUUGCUAGAUUAUGGAUUUGAUAACCUGUCCUUGAGGCAGUGGGUCUUGGUGCAGAAAUAAUUCUCACAACUAGUCCCUGCUUCUAUUCCCAUAAUACAGUUAUGUAAGUGGUCAGACACUAACUCCUUUUAAUGUCUCGCUGGAAAACAGCAGUCACCAAAGUUCAUCCACUGAAUUCAAAACUUGCUCUUUCCUUUCCAGCACCACUAACUACAAUGCAAACGCUCAGAAGUUCUCCCUUCAUUGAAGUUAUGUGACUGGAAUAUGAGAGUGCUAGUUUGACCCAGUUUCUCUAUUAUCACGAAAUGUUGAACAUGCAAAAAUGGGAAGAUGAGCCUUAAAAUGAGAAGACCCAGUAUAUGUCCUGGAGGCAUAUGGCUGGAAUGAAAUCCACCCAGCCCAGGCAAUCUGUUGCCAGGAAAGGAGACAUUCAAGCCUUUUUUGAUAUAUUCAUGUUGCAAUCGUCCACCGAGCACCUGCCUUCAUCUCGUCCCUGCCUUCACUUGCUUCUUGGCUUACUGUGCGGAUGGCUCCUGUCCCACGGGCCCUCUGGCAGUCCAGGUAAUAGAAUCAUGAGGCAGGUAUCAGUUAGACAGAGAGGAUGUGAGCGUCUCUUCUCUGUGUGACUAAAGAGGGUGAUGAGAUGUGUCCUCAGCUUCCUGUCAAAUUAUAACCCCCACAGUGUCAUCAUCUCUGACUCGGACACCUUCAGUUGGUGGAUGAACCGAUAAGGUAAGGUCAUUACCUAUGAAUAUGAUAAUGUUGGGAUAAAAGUAACCCAUACCAAUUUUAAAGCAGCUGCCAGCUCUUUAAUUCUGGGUCUUUACAGUAGUUCUCACUUCCUGCAGUACAACGGGGGCAGAUUUAAUGGUGCAAUUAAAAUACUGUCAAAGAUUUUCACUUGUGUUUGAAUUCAAAUUCUAGUGUUGGCAGCCUAAAA